UGCUACAGCAUUUUAACCCGGCUCGGCAGUGUAAAGACAGCUUAAGUUAGCCUAAUGUUAGACAAUGAAUGAGUAUGUACAUAACGUUACUUUUAUAACAACCAUUUUUUAUUCAGUAAGUGUUAUAGUUGACGUGGCCCAGGUGCCAACUGACUGACGUCACACAGGCGACACUGGUUGGAUCUACGGGAACAGCUGUGGAAGUAUGGGUUUUCUUCAUUCUUUUAAUGUUUUUACAUUUCUUCUUAUUAAAGAUUGUACUGAUCAAGAAUAUAUUUAAAUGUAUGUGAUUAUGGGAUGAUCUCUGAAGAACAAUAGGUAUUCUGUGUUAUGUCUAUGUUAAAAAGGCUGUCCUGUUCCUUUAAGAGGUGGGGGCUGAUUAACCAAUCACUGGCCGGAAGCGGGAGUGCCUCCUGAAUCGCGCGAGAAGAAAAUUAGAGGAAAAAACGGGAGCUCCGGUACAGCAUAGCCGAACGCAAGUUCACAAGAAUUUUUAGCUUAACGUUCUCUGUUCUGUUUUCUGUAAUAAGGCUAGUUAAGGUGUUUUGUGCGUUCAUGAAACCGUAAAUUGCCUUCCGGGUUUCCCGACCGUUGCAUUUACUGUUCUGUAACUAAGCAUUGUGCCGUUGUAAUCGGUUUGAGCCUGUUUACCGUGUGCAUUGACUAAUGCUAGAUGGCGUAAAGAGUAUUAAUAAUGCUUAGGAUUUUAUAUAGUAAAUGGAUCGCCCUUUUUGUGAGGUAUUUAUGUUUAUGGAUGCAUAAUGGAAGCGAAAUUAGUAGUUAGUUUAUCGCUAGUGCCAUUAAGUAAGGUACGUUAAUCUGGGGAGUUGACCUACUUUCGGUCACUUGCGCAUGCGCAUUUAGCGCCCAUGUGCCUUGCACGCGGAGGUGCAUACUUUAGUCUCGUGUACUGUAUGCGAAUAUCGCUUCUUAGGCAGAGAGGGAUCUGGGGAGUGUAUUUUAUAGGUUAUCUUACAGACUGUAGGUUAAUUAGAUUAAUAGUGAAUAUACAUGUUAUGUUUAGGUAGAUAUUAUUGGCAACAUGUAUAUUGUAAAGGGUCUAUUAUGUACAACUAAUUCUGUAUUUUAUAUUUUGUUUAUAUUUGUAGAGAACACACAUAAACACCCACACACACCCAGAUACAAAGCUAUUGCACCUUGAUCAAUGCCAAUAAAACCCUUCAUUGCAACUACGGCCUGGUCAUUGGAACCCCACCAAUAAGCAAAGCCAGAGUUCUGACCGACUCUCCACAGUGUUUUGAACCAUCCAUUCACCAGCACAGUAAACUAUUUUUCAGUCU